AUACGAAAAAGGCAAACUUUUUGAAAAAAAGGGACGCAAAACCAGAGACUAAAACAUCCAAACGUCAUGUCCGUCCGGUUACCGCA
rnacentral:ncRNA from 2 species